rnacentral:RNase_P_RNA from 2 species
GGAGUCAGCCAGACAGUCGCGUCACGCUUGCGUGCCGAGGAAAGUCCGGGCUCCACAGAGCAGGGUGCCAGGUAACGCCUGGGCGGCGCGAGCCGACGGAAAGUGCAACAGAGAAUAGACAGCCGAACGGCAUCCGCGCCCGCCACGGUCCAGCCUCGUGCUGGAAGGGUCGUGACACUAGCGUCGGCGCGCAAGCGCUGGCGCUCAAGUGCUCCCGGCAUCUGCCGUGGUGAAAGCGGAUGUGCGUGGUGAUGGUGAAACGGUGCGGUAAGAGCGCACCGCCUGCGGGGCCAACGCCGCAGGGCACGGCAAACCCCACCCGGAGCAAGACCGAAUAGGGGGGCUAUGGCGCGGCUCGCGUUGCCCCCGGGUUGGUCGCUUGAGCCUUGCGGCGACGCAAGGCCCAGAGGAAUGGCUGUCCACGACAGAACCCGGCUUACCGGCUGACUCCUCUU